GUCAACAUCCUUAACGAAUGUAAUCACGUUCUAACCUGUUGAACGUUAUCUUAGAUAACCGUAAGCACGCUUUCGGCACCUGAGCAGCUUUCAGAGGCCAGACGGAUAGCCCAAAGGGUAUUCGUUGCAAUCCUCAGUCUCAAUCACCACAUCUACCAGAGGCUAUAACACUUCAACCGAAAUCGAAGCUACAUUCCGCCGGUCAUUUUAUGAUAAUCGAAACUGACGUUGGCCUACCAUACGAAAAAGUACACCCAAAACGCACAAACAUGCAAACAGCGAGGCCGAAACUCACGCACGCCCACAAGUUCGCACACGAUAAGUUGAUUUCUCGUCGGUACGACUGACUUCAAUCGUUUCCCUUUCAA
rnacentral:rRNA from 1 species